UGAUGCCAAAAAAUCGUACCUGGCAUAUCACGAACUUGUUGCUUGAAUACCGAGCCCGAGGACCGAGUAAGAGCACGAACAAGGACUUCCGGUACCUGAAACAAAGGCAACGAGGUGUGUGCUCGUCGCCCCUCCGAUGCUUAAGUCAGAGAGGGAAAUUGUGUAAAAGUAUGUGCUAUAAUUGUAUUGUAAAGACAUACCAGAAUAAUGGAGCUGAGUCCUGU
rnacentral:lncRNA from 1 species